AGGAAACUACCGGACAAGCCUCUCAG
rnacentral:piRNA from 1 species